GACGUACAUAGAUAGGUAUACGUUUAGGAGGGGCUUGCGCACAUAUUAGUUAGUUGGUAGGGUAAUGGCCUACCAAGACGAUGAUGUGUAGCUGGACUGAGAGGUUGAACAGCCACAUUGGGACUGAGACACGGCCCAAACUCCUACGGGAGGCAGCAGUAGGGAAUUUUCGGCAAUGGAGGAAACUCUGACCGAGCAACGCCGCGUGAACGACGAAGUACUUUGGUAUGUAAAGUUCUUUUAUCAAGGAAGAAAAGCAAGUGGUGAACCAUUUGUUUGCCGGUACUUGAUGAAUAAGCCCCGGCUAAUUAUGUGCCAGCAGCCGCGGUAAGACAUAAGGGGCAAGUGUUAUCCGGAAUUAUUGGGCGUAAAGGGUGCGUAGGCGGUCUAGUAAGUCAGUGGUGUAAUGGCAACGCUCAACGUUGUCCGGCUAUUGAAACUGCUAAACUUGAGUUAGAUAGAGGCGAGUGGAAUUCCAUGUGUAGCGGUAAAAUGCGUAAAUAUAUGGAGGAACACCAGAGGCGUAGGCGGCUCGCUGGGUCUUAACUGACGCUGAGGCACGAAAGCGUGGGGAGCAAACAGGAUUAGAUACCCUGGUAGUCCACGCCGUAAACGAUGAGUACUAAGUGUCGGGUUAAACCGGUACUGAAGUUAACACAUUAAGUACUCCGCCUGAGUAGUACGUACGCAAGUAUGAAACUUAAAGGAAUUGACGGGACUCCGCACAAGCGGUGGAUCAUGUUGUUUAAUUCGAAGAUACCCGAACCACCUUACCAGGUCUUGACAUGUUAUUGCUAAACGAUAACAAUAUCUUGUAGGUUAUCAGAAACACAGGUGGUGCAUGGUUGGCG
rnacentral:rRNA from 2 species